UGAGGAACAUGACCUUCGGCGGGGGAUAGCCGGCCCAACGGCCGGGUAAUACCGCGUACGACCACAUGGGGACAUCCCUGAGUGGUGAAAGCAGCAAUGCGCCGAUGGAGUGCCUCGCGGCCUAUCAGCUAGUUGGUGAGGUAACGGCUCACCAAGGCAACGACGGGUAGCUGGUCUGAGAGGAUGGCCAGCCACAUUGGGACUGAGACACGGUCCAGACCUNUACGGGAG
rnacentral:rRNA from 1 species